CAGACGUGUUGCAACAGAUGGCUUUAGCAGCGGCAGCUCGGCGGCGGCUGCACCAAGGAACUCUGGGACGCCGUUAGACAGAGCAGAGGUAGAGAAAAGGGGAGGGAGGGGUGCUGGAAAGUCACAGCAGAGGGAAGGAGAGAGAAAAAGAGACGGAGUGAGACUUCUCCCCCUUCCUCCUUCGGCUGCAAACUCACCGCCUUCCUCCUCAGACAGACAGGAAGACAUGUCCGUGUGAGCACAAGUUGUGCAGCUGAGAGGAGUUUUCAGGAGGCGAUGAGUGUUUGAUCUGAGCCUUCAUCCUCCUCCUCCUCCUCCUCCUCCUCCUCCUGCUCCUCCUCCUGCUCUGGGGUCAGAGGGGAGAACACCUGCUGACAGCGAGGAGGUCCUGAGGGAGGAGACCAGCAGCAGCAGGAGGACUGAAAACAGCAGGAGGCUCAACACACACCUACACACACACUGCAGGUCCCUGCUGAGCUGGACACCCUGAUAAACACUGAGUAUACUCCAGAGUGUCUGCACAAGG